rnacentral:rRNA from 1 species
UACGGGGGGGGCAAGCGUUGUUCGGAAUUACUGGGCGUAAAGGGUUUGUAGGUGGCUUGCUAAGUCAGACGUGAAAUCCCUCAGCUUAACUGGGGAACUGCGUCUGAGACUGGCGAGCUUGAGUGCAGGAGAGGAACGCGGAAUUCCAGGUGUAGCGGUGAAAUGCGUAGAUAUCUGGAGGAACACCGGUGGCGAAGGCGGCAUCCUGGACCAAUAUUGACGCUGAGGAGCGAAAGCUAGGGGAGCAAACGGG